CUUUCGAUCGUAUUUCGAACACCGAUUGGAUGUUGUAACCGUCGCUAAUCGAGUUUUUCACGUCGCCCGAUGUCGUGAUCAACAUCGCCGCGGAAAAGUAUGGCGUUUAGUGGCGAUGACGGUGAAAACUUUCCGAUAAAAUGAAAUGAUGUCGAUCGAAUUACAAAAUGGAUUUGGCAGAUCAAAUCGAUGAUUAUAUCUGCAGUUUUGAGGGUAUUGGUGACUUAACAAUGGAUACAUUAGCAAUGUUCAUAUUCGUUUGGGCCGUAUUGGCCUUAUUUUUAUUAUGGCUGUGCAAAUUUUUAUAUAACAAAUAUGUGAAAAAAGAUCAAAAAACUGCAACUGAUGGUACGAAAACAACAUUAUCAUCAUCAUCAUCGACAGUGACUAGUGGUAGUAGUAGUUUGUUAUCGUCUGGUGCUAAUAAAUUAGAUUUAACUGGCGAUAAAUUAAGACGUUCCGAGCCAAGGGAAUUGCAUUCGAGUAAGGAAGUUAAGGAUCUCUCAAGUAAGCCUUUAGGUGCUAAGGGCGGUAUACGUUCUUCUCUUGGUAAAUCUGGUGGAAGUGGUUAUGUACCACCAACACCCCCAAUACGAAAACGGCUGACCCGCAAGAGUCCUGGACCGGAGUUGAGAAAGUCACGUAGCAUUGUGCCUCCAUCAAAUGUUGUUGGACCUGAAACUACCUCUGUCACCUGGACUAGCCAAGUAUUCCGUUGGCUAUACAGCGAUCUGGUCAUCAUUAAUGAGUUGCUAAAUGUGUGGGUGCAAACACUCAAUGAAUACACGAAAAAAUGUGCCGAAGAUCAAGGAGUCGUUGUCGAAAUUGUACGUAUUUUGCCGGAUAGCCCACCACCAACGUUGUCGAAUAUUUUCUGUAAUAGUACAGAAGCGAAUCCCAGUGAUAUGGUCAUAACAUGCGACUGUGAGGCGACACCAAUCCUUCAGGUGAAGGCAAUCCGGCAGAAAUCGGGUAAAGUCGAGACAUCACACUACAAGCUGACUGUGUCCCGAUUCCGUGCCCGACUAUCAAUUACCAUGAGCUACAUAACGUUGAAGGGUGAAAUGAAAAUUGAAGGCUAUCCUGAUAUUCGCAUCGCCAUGAAUAGUGUUGGUGCUAUCAAACCUAUGGACCAGGAUGAGCAACAAUUACAGGAAGUUAUCAAUGAAGUGAUUACAAGCGCCUUAAGAAACACCACUUACCCUGUGGAUUUCUCCGUCUAUUCAACUUGUCCGCGGGCGAUAGAAAUGGAACCUGAAUAUCCUGUAAAUUAUCCAAAUUAUCCAAUGCAAUAUGACUCGUUGGCGUACAACAUGGAACAUUUAAACUCGCAAAAUCGCCUAUCGGGUUCACAUAUGACAACUGGAAAACGAUUGUUAGUAAAGAUCGUGAAAGGUGAAGGACUAAUUAAUGCGCAGGAUCCUUAUUGUGUUGUUGAGAUGGAUGAACCACCGCAAAAGAAUCAGACCGGUGCGCGCCAGGGAAUGAAUCCGUAUUGGGAUGAACAUUUCUUGUUCGAUCUUUCUGCACAAUCAGCCGAAAUCCUAUUCGAGGUCUACGAUCGUCCAGCCAAUGCGAAUGCUCCACCAAAAUUCCUAGGUUUAGGAUUGGUUGGAAUCGAUGAGCUAAGUGUUGGACCGGCCUCGACACAAGUUCUAGCCCUUCAACCCCGUCCCUAUGAAACGGAGAAUGUGAACGGUGCUAUAACUGUAGAAUUUGUAUUCAUCGAAGGUGCCGAAGUUCCUACCGGUCGACGUCCAUACAAGUUGAAGGAAGCCCUUAAAAUUAGUACACCAAUGAUAAAUGAGCAUUUAAAGAAUGGUGCCGACUUAGCGGAUGCAGCGAUCAAAGCUAUUGAGGAAGGAGCGCUAAAUACCAGCGGAAAUCCAAGCAAGAGUACUUUAAUAAUACAUAGUGUUCAGAGGAGUGACCGAUCCAAAUUCAAGGUUGAACUAAACAAAGAUGGUCAGAUACAAGUCGACGAGAUAUCUGAUGCAGAUGCUGAAGGUAAUGGUGGCCAAGAGCAACAAGAAGUCGAUGCUUCAGUUACAAAUGUUACCGCCAGUCCUACGGACAGCGUACCGCCAACGGAUCAAUUCCAAAAAUCCGUUUCGGCUGAGGUACAUAAUGAGCAGGCAAGUAACAUAACUGCAGAAUUGAAUGGAACCAUUAACAAUGAGAAUGAUAUUGAAAAUGAUACUAAGAAUGAUGAUUCGGUUGGUCAUCCCAACGCACAUUCAUCCCCGCACCACCCUCAAACCAACGGCCAUGGAAUGCAGCCCAUGAACCACAACAUGAGUGGUUUGCCCCAUCAACACUCGAUAGAUUCCAGCGUUCAGGACUCAGAUCGCGGACGCAGUAGAAAGAAGCGUGACUUCUUCGGAACCCUGCGUCGACGCCUGGGGCGAUCCAAGAACAGGACGAAGUCAGUUGACCGUGGCAUGAUCCCGAUCAGUGCUGAAAAUCCACACGGGGAGACUCGAUCAAUUUCCGCCGAUCGGGGAGGCCUUACCAAUAGUUCAUCGCAAGGACCGAGAUUAAUUGUGCCGACACUAGACCAAUCAAGACGAUCCUCACUUUCAGAAUCAUCAGCUCUCUCAGGUUUCUCGUCAGCUAGCACGAAAACAUAUUUACAUGAAGCAUCUACAUUGGUCCUGGAGACACUUGAGAAUGGCAUUAAAAGGCAUUUCCUAGUUCCACUAGCCAUAGCGCAAAGGCCUAGAUGGCGUCGCAAGGGCACUAAAUUGCACAUUUAUAAUGAUCACACCUUUGUCGCCAAGCAUCUUAGUGGCGGUGGCCUUCUUUGUGGUAUUUGUACGAAAUCAAUACCACGACGACCCGGCAAGCAAGGAUAUGAAUGUCGUGAUUGUCACUUAAUAUGCCACAAGCAAUGUCACGUUCGGGCACCACAAGCAUGCCCCAACCCUACCGUUCUUUCAAUGGAAUUGACAACUCUUCCUGUACUCAAUGAUAAUCAACUAUAAAAUAAAAGUAACAUUAAAAAAAUGACUAAUAAAAAGCGUAAAAUGUUAAAAACUUUUAAAAGAGAUGUACAGUCACGAGAAUAACAUUUAUAAAAGGACGAAAUAUAAGAACAGCUAAAUCAAAAUAUUUUUUAUAUGCUAAAGAAAAUUACAAAAAUUAAACGAAUAAAUAACAGCCAAUAACGCAUAAUUAUAAACGAUGAGAAUUGUUGCCUUCUUCAUCUAAAGUUUUCGAUUAAAGUUUACUAUGAACGAAUUUAAAAUAAAACCGGCUUAAAUUUCGAUAUUUUUUUUUUGUUUUUCUGGAUUCCGACCGACACCCUCCCUAUUUUAAAAUUAGCAACUGCUAAUUCUCCAAUUCACUCAUUUGUAUAAAUUAUUUUUAGUUUUUUUUCCAUUUACUGGAUGGAAAAUUUAUCCCAAACUGAAUAAAAAUGAGGUCAAUUAUUUAAAAAAAAAAUCAAAUUUCAAAAAUUAACAAAUCCUUUCGAUCCCACUAAUUAAAAGCUUUUAAUGUAAGGGUCCAUGUUGAACCUUUUGUCAUUCACUCGAAAUUUAACAAUUUUAAUGGAAAACGCGAAAGUUGCAUGCCUAAAAAUACAAUAAAUAAAAAGUUCUGGUCCAUAAGAAGUACAUAUAAGUAUGUAGAAUAUACGACGUAAAGGUCAGCCAAUUUUUGGAAGUAUGAUUGAAUGGGUCAAAACUUAACACAGCUGCAGCAGAUCGAAGCAUACGUAAAUUAUAAAACAUCACCAUCCACCACGCGAUAAUAAAAGUGAAAUAACACAAAAUUAUAAUCAUCACUUUGAGCAAACCUUUCAACUCAAUCAUGGUUGGAAUUAAAAGAAAACUAAGGCAUUUUCCGCCCUUGUUGAUGCUAGGAAAAAAGUGAAAAGUACCUUCUGAAAAUGACAAACAGAAUUUUUUUUGGAAAUUUAAUCUUGAACGUCACGAAAAUAUUAUUUUUAAUCAGAAUUUUUAAGAAUGUUUGAGCAAAUGCAUAUUUUUAUAAAUAAUUGGAAUGGAAUGGAUACAUGCGAUCAUUAUCCUUUUAUAUAUUUUCUCCUGGGGUCGCACCCUCGAAUUCUAAUCUCAAAUCUUCGCAAAUACAUUCUAGUAUCAAAAUUGAGGUAGACUCUUCCUUUUUUGGCAACACCACUUUUCCAAGAGGUCUUCAGCUUUUCUAAUUAUGCUUCACAGUCCGAACCUUAGGGACUUUAUCCCAAAAUCCAAUUUUGUACUUAAAGCACAGGAAAUUUUUCUAAAAAGUCCCAAAGCAAAAGCAAUACAUGCAACGCCUUAAAACAAAGCAAUGAAAAAUAAUAUCCGCUUAAUUAUUUGUUAAUCUACCUCAGUUUUUUUUCCAUUUUUUUUUUCUUUUUUUGUCAUAAAAUAAAUAAAGAUAUUUUUAUUUUAAUCCGGAAAAUGGCGGUUACCUUCCAAUUCAAACGGUUAGCAAGUAGUUUUGUCAAUUUUCCAAGCCAAACACGAACACGUAAAAUAAAAUAACAAUUCAGCGUAAUACUCAAAGGACCUUUAUUUUAGAAGAAAUCUUUGUUUACAUACAAGCAAAUACCGUAAAUGUUAAAACUUUAAUUUUUUGUUAUUUUAAACAACGAGUAACAUUGUCGAGCGAACUAUAUUAAUUGUUUUGUUGGUAAUUUUAUAUAAAGAUUUAACGUAAUCGAUGUUUAUCUCGUUUUUCCAUUUAUUUUUCUUAUAAAAUAUUUUUAAAUUGCAUCGGAUUGCAUAGCAAUUUUUAAAUUGCAUAGCAAUUUUCUCAAGCGGCUAGGAUAUCUAAGAAACGUACCUUAAGGUUACUCUUAAAACUGAAAAUUUCAAACCAUUCUUUUGUCGAAUUUUCAUCUAGAAUCACUGAAAAUAUUAACAGAGAAGAACUCCUGAAUAAAACAGACAAUUCAUACAAAAAAGGACACCCCGAAAGUGGUAAAGGAAAGAACGAAAAUCUUUCGAAUUAAAUAUUAAAAAACUGAGAAAAAUUUUUCAAUAAUGGUUUUCAAUCCGAAAUAAUUUAACAAAAUAUAAAAAGAAAAUAAAACAUGUCCUUGCGCAACAGGAUCACAACUUCUAUAAGGGCUUGUUAACACUUCAAAAAUAUGAAGGAAAUUAAAUAGCAGACUUAAAUUAAGGAUAUACACACACAGAUUCAAAGAGAAAUGAAAGCGGUUAAGGAUUACUUAUAAACGUUAUAAGAAACUGAUUUUAUUAACUCAACAAAAAUAGUCGAAACAUUUUUAAUUCAAUUUAAAUCUUUUUUUUUUGUCAAACCAUUUUUUUAAGAUAAAUUGUUAAAUUUUAUGAGAGUAAUCUAAAGCGAAAAGAAAAAUUUUUGGAAUUAGAAGGUAUGUAACGUAAAUUGCGGCACAAUGACUAUGCCUAAUCUUGUUUUUUUUUUAAGAUAAAAAGUGAACUUACAAAAGUAAAAUGAGAAUAAGAAGAUUUUUAAAAGUGAAAUUGACAGAAAUAUUAUAAAUAUUUAAAUACACAUGGAAAACAAUUGAAAGGAAGAGGAACAAGAAUAAAAAGUAAUUGUUUUAAAAAGGA